UACGAAGGGGGCUAGCGUUGUUCGGAAUCACUGGGCAUAAAGCGCACGUAGGCGGCGGCGUAAGUUGGAUGUGAAAUCCCCCGGCCCAACCGGGGAACUGCGUCCAGUACUGCGUUGCUUGAGGAUCCAAGGGGUGCAUGGAAUUCCCGGUGGAGCGGUGAAAUGCGUUGAUAUCGGGAGGAACUCCGGCGGCGAAAGCGGUGCACUGGUGGAUUACUGACGCUGAGGUGCGAAAGCCAGGGGAGCAGACGGG
rnacentral:rRNA from 1 species